rnacentral:rRNA from 1 species
AUCAAACGCUGGCGGCGUGCCUAACACAUGCAAGUCGAACGAGAAAGCGGGGGCAACCCCGCGAGUACAGUGGCGCACGGGUGAGUAACACGUGACUAACCUGCCCUUAAGUGGGGGGGAUAACCUCGGGAAACCGGGGCUAAUACCGCAUAACCUCGUGAGGUGGAAAAUUCCUUGCGAGCAAAGGAGCAAUUCGCUUUUGGAGGGGGGGGUCGCGGCUGAUUAGGGUAGUUGGGCGGGGUAACGGGCCCACCAAGCCGAUGAUCAGUAUCCGGGCCUGAGGAGGGCGCACGGACACACUGGAACUGAAACACGGUCCAGACUCCUACGGGAGGCAGCAGUGGGGAAAUUUUUGCGCAAUGGGGGAAAACCCUGACGCAGCAACGCCGCGUGGGAGGAUGAAGGUCUUUUGGAUUGUAAACUCCUUUCGACCGGGACGAUUAUGACGGUAACCGGUGGAAGAAGCACCGGCUAACUCUGUGCCAGCAAGCCGCGCGGUAAUACAGAGGGUGCAAGCGUUGUUCGGAAUUAUUGGGCUGUAAAGGGGCGCGUAGGCGGUAGUCGCAAGUCCGUGGUGAAAAUCUCCAGGCUCAACUUUGGAGUCUGGCCGCGGAAACUGCGGUGCUAGAGUGUGGGAGAGGUUGCGUGGAAUUCCCGGUUGUAGCGUGGUGAAAUGCGUAGAUAUCGGGAGGAACACCUGUGGCGGAAGCGGCGCACUGGACCACCAACUGACGCUGAUGCGCGAAAGCUAGGGGGAGCAAAACAGGAUUAGAUAACCCUGGUAGUCCUAGCCCUAAACGAUGAACACUUGGUGUGGCGGGUACCCAAUCCCGCCGUGGCCGGAGCUAACGCGUUAAGUGUUCCGCCUGGGGAGUACGGUCGCAAGGCUGAAACUCAAAGGGAAAUUGACGGGGGCCCGCCACAAGCGGUGGAGCAUGUGGUUCAAUUCGACGCAACGCGAAAGAACCUUACCUGGGCUCCAAAUGUAGUGGAAUCCGGUGGAAAACAUCGGCGGCCCGCAAGGGCCGCUAUAUAGGUGCUGCAUGGGCUGUCGUCAGCUCGUGUCGUGAGAUGUUGGGUUAAGUCCCGCAACGAGCGCAACCCUUAUCGUUAGUUGCUAACGCGUUUAUGGCGAGCACUCUAGCGAAACCGCCCCCGGACAACGGGGAGGAAGGUGGGGGAUGACGUCAAGUCCUCAUGGCCUUUAUGUCCCAGGGCUACACACGUGCUACAAUGGUCGGUACAAAACCGUCGCAAACCCGCGAGGGGGGAGCUAAUCGGAAAAAAGCCGACCUCAGUUCGGAUUGGAGGUCUGCAACCCGACUCCAUGAAGCUGGAAUCGCUAGUUAAUCGCGGGAUCAGCAUGCCGCGGUGAAUACGUUCCCGGGCCUUGUACACACCGCCCGUUCACAUCACGAAAGUGGGUGGUACUAGAAGUCGGUGAGCUAACCUGCAAGGGAGGCAGCCGCCCAAAGGUAUUACUCAUGAUUGGGGUG